rnacentral:lncRNA from 1 species
CAUGUAGUAACCAAAAAAGUGUUAAACAAAUCAAAAUAUAUUUUUGAUUUGAGACUCUUCAAAGUAGCCACCGUUUGCCUUGAUGACAGCUUUGCACACUCUUGGCAUUCGCUCAGGUAGUCACCUGGAAUGCAUUUCAAUUAACAGGUGUGCCUUGUUAAAAGUUAAUUUGUGGAAUUUCUUUCCUUUUUAAUGCAUUUGAGCCAAUCAGUUGUGUUGUGACAAGGUAGGGGUGGUAUACAGAAGAUAGUCCUAUUUGGUAAAAGACCAAGUCCAUAUUAUGGCAAGAACAGCUCAAAUAAGCAAAGAGAAUGAUAGUCCAUCAUUCAUUUAAGACAUGAAGGUCAAUCAAUGCGGAAAAUUUCAAAAACUUUGAACGUUUUUUCAAGUGCAGUCGCAUAAACCAUCAAGCGCUAUGAUGAAACUGGCUCUCAUGAGGACCGCCACAGGAAAGGAAGACCCAGAGUUACCUCUGCUGCAGAGGACAAGUUCAUUAGAGUUACCAGCCUCAGAAAUUGCAGCCCAAAUAAAUGCUUCAUGGAGUUAAAUUAUGAGACAGAUCUCCACAUCAACUGUUCAGAGGAGAAUGCGUGAAUCAGGCCUUCAUGGUCAAAUUGCUGCAAAGAAACCACUUCUAAAGGACACCAAUAAGAAGAAGAGACUUUCUUGGGCCAAGAAAAAUUAGCAAUAGACAUUAGACCGAUGCAAAUCUGUCCUCUGGUCUGAUGAGUCCAAAUUUGAGAUUUUUGGUUCCAAAUGCUGUCUUUGUGAGACGCAGAGUAGGUGAAUGGAUGAUCUACGCAUGUGUGGUUCCCACUGUGAAGCAUGGAGGAGGAGGUUUGAUAGUGUGGGGGUGCUUUGCUGGUGACACUCGGUGAUUUAUUUAGAAUUCAAGUCUGUUGGAAAAACAUUCCAGGUGAAGCUGGUUGAGAGAAUGCUAAGCGUGUGCAAAGCUGUCAACAAGGCAAAGGGUGGCUACUUUGAAGAAUCUCAAAUAUAAAAUAUAUUUUGAUUUGUUAAACACAUUCCAC